rnacentral:rRNA from 1 species
GGUUGAAGCAUGACCGUAAGGACAUGUGGACAGUAUGGGAGUGAGAAUGUUGGCAUGAGUAGCGAGAUGUGGGUGAGAAUCCCACAGGCCGUAAACCCAAGGUUUCCAGGGGAAGGUUCGUCCGCCCUGGGUUAGUCGGGACCUAAGCUGAGGCCGAAAGGCGUAGGUGAUGGACAACAGGUUGAUAUUCCUGUACUACCGAUAACCGUUUGAGAGAAGGGAUGACACAGUAGGAUAAGCUAAGCACACUGUUGGUUAUGUGUGCCCAAGCAUUGAGGCAGUCAAAGUAGGCAAAUCCGCUUUGAUAAUGCUGGGAUGUGAUGGGGAGCGAAAUUUAGUAGCGAAGUAGCUGAUUUCACACUGUCAAGAAAAGUCUCUAUCGAGGUUAAAGGUACCCGUACCGCAAACCGACACAGGUGGGUGAGGAGAGUAUCCUAAGGCCAGCGAGAGAACUGUUGUUAAGGAACUCGGCAAAAUGACCCCGUAACUUAGGGAUAAGGGGUGCCACCAUCAGGUGGCCGCAGAGAAUAGGCCCAAGCGACUGUUUACCAAAAACAUAGGUUUCUGCUAAGUCGCAAGACGAUGUAUAGGAGCUGACGCCUGCCCGGUGCUGGAAGGUUAAGGGGAUCUGUUAGAGCAAUCGAAGCAGUGAACUUAAGCCCCAGUAAACGGCGGCCGUAACUAUAACGGUCCUAAGGUAGCGAAAUUCCUUGUCGGGUAAGUUCCGACCCGCACGAAAGGCGUAACGAUUUGGGCACUGUCUCAACAACAGACUCGGUGAAAUUGUAAUUCCGGUGAAGAUGCCGGAUACCUGCGACAGGACGGAAAGACCCCAUGGAGCUUUACUGUAGCUUGACAUUGGGUCUUGGUACUACAUGUACAGGAUAGGUGGGAGGCUUUGAAACCAGGACGCCAGUUUUGGCGGAGCCAUCCUUGGGAUACCACCCUUGUAGUACUGGGACUCUAACCAUAGGCCAUGAAUCUGGUCUUGGGACACUGUCAGGUGGGCAGUUUGACUGGGGCGGUCGCCUCCCAAAAGGUAACGGAGGCGCUCAAAGGUUCUCUCAGUACGGUCGGAAAUCGUACGUAGAGUGUAAAGGCAAAAGAGAGCUUGAUUGCAAGACAUACAGGUCGAGCAAGGAUGAAAAUCGGACUUAGUGAUCCGGUGGUUCUGCGUGGAAGGGCCAUCGCUCAACGGAUAAAAGCUACCCUGGGGAUAACAGGCUUAUCUCCCCCAAGAGUCCACAUCGACGGGGAGGUUUGGCACCUCGAUGUCGGCUCAUCACAUCCUGGGGCUGUAGUAGGUCCCAAGGGUUGGGCUGUUCGCCCAUUAAAGUGGUACGCGAGCUGGGUUCAGAACGUCGUGAGACAGUUCGGUCCCUAUCCGUCGCAGGCGUAGGAAAUUUGAGAAGACCUGUCCUUAGUACGAGAGGACCGGGAUGGACGUACCUCUGGUGUACCAGUUGUCCUGCCAAGGGCAUGGCUGGGUAGCUAUGUACGGAAUGGAUAAGCGCUGAAAGCAUCUAAGCGCGAAGCCAACUUCAAGAUAAGAUUUCCCACCGCAAGGGUAAGACCCCAGAAAGACUAUCUGGUUGA